AUUGAACGCUGGCGGUAUGCUUAAGACAUGCAAGUCGAACGGUAACAGGUUAAGCUGACGAGUGGCGGACGAGUGAGUAACGCGUGGGAAUCUACCUUGUAGUGGGGGAUAAGCCAGGGAAACUUGGACUAAUACCGCAUACGCCCUAAGGGGGAAAGGCGCAAGUCGCUAUAAGAUGAGCCCGCGUCUGAUUAGGUAGUUGGUGGGUAAAGGCCUACCAAGCCGACGAUCAGUAGCUGGUCUGAGAGGAUGAUCAGCCACACUGGGACUGAGACACGGCCCAGACUCCUACGGGAGGCAGCAGUGGGGAAUUUUGGACAAUGGGCGCAAGCCUGAUCCAGCCAUGCCGCGUGCGGGAAGAAGGCCUUCGGGUUGUAAACCGCUUUAGUCCGGGAAAAGGGGUAGGCGAGGAGUAAUACCCUCGUGCUUUGAUGGUACUGGAAGAAUAAGCACCGGCUAACUAACGUGCCAGCAGCCGCGGUAAAGUACUCUAU
rnacentral:rRNA from 1 species